rnacentral:lncRNA from 1 species
GGUGCCAUCGUUGGAGCACAGCGGAGCCGCCGUGCCAGAAUUUUGAUAUUGGUCGAAAGGACCCUGGGUCUGAUUUGGGGUUUUUUUGGGACACGUACAGGUACCGGAAGUGUGUUUCAGUUCCCGGGAGAAAAUUCAGGAAAUCUAGGGACUGCCCGUAGGCGUAGUGUAAAACCAAUUUCAGACCCUGAAACAAGAAAAGAUUUCUCACCCUAUUUUUCUAUCA